GGCAGUGGUGGCUUGGUGGUUAAAGCUCUGAAUUACUCAUCAGAAGAUCAGGGGUUCGAGCUCCAGCGCUGCCA